GGAUUAAGAGCUUGCUCUUAUGAAGUUAGCGGCGGACGGGUGAGUAACACGUGGGUAACCUGCCCAUAAGACUGGGAUAACUCCGGGAAACCGGGGCUAAUACCGGAUAACAUUUUGAACCGCAUGGUUCGAAAUUGAAAGGCGGCUUCGGCUGUCACUUAUGGAUGGACCCGCGUCGCAUUAGCUAGUUGGUGAGGUAACGGCUCACCAAGGCAACGAUGCGUAGCCGACCUGAGAGGGUGAUCGGCCACACUGGGACUGAGACACGGCCCAGACUCCUACGGGAGGCAGCAGUAGGGAAUCUUCCGCAAUGGACGAAAGUCUGACGGAGCAACGCCGCGUGAGUGAUGAAGGCUUUCGGGUCGUAAAACUCUGUUGUUAGGGAAGAACAAGUGCUAGUUGAAUAAGCUGGCACCUUGACGGUACCUAACCAGAAAGCCACGGCUAACUACGUGCCAGCAGCCGCGGUAAUACGUAGGUGGCAAGCGUUAUCCGGAAUUAUUGGGCGUAAAGCGCGCGCAGGUGGUUUCUUAAGUCUGAUGUGAAAGCCCACGGCUCAACCGUGGAGGGUCAUUGGAAACUGGGAGACUUGAGUGCAGAAGAGGAAAGUGGAAUUCAAUUCCCCUGUGUGGGGGGGGGAAAUGCGUAGAGAUAUGGAGGGGACCCCCCCCGUGGGCGAAGGCGACUUUUUUGUUUUGUUAAUGACAUGAGGGGGCGAAAAGCGUGGGGGGAGCAAACAGGAUUAGAUACCCUGGUAGUCCCCACCGUAAAGAAGGAGUGAUAAGAGUUAGAGGGUUUCCCCCCUUUUGUGCUGAAAUUAACGCAUUAAGCACUCCCCCCGGGGAGUACGGCCGCACGGGUGAAACUCAAAAAAAUUGACGGGGGCCCGCCCAAGCGGUGGAGCAUGUGGUUUAUUUUGAAGCAACGCGAAAAACCUUACCAGGUCUUGACAUCCUCUGACAACCCCAGAGAUAGGGGUUUUCUUUUUGGAGCAGAGUGACAGGUGGUGCAUGGUUGUCGUCAGCUCGUGUCGUGAGAUGUUGGGUUUAGUCCCGCAACGAGCGCAACCCCCGAUUUUAGUUUCCAUCACUAAGUUGGGCACUCUAAGGUGACUGCCGGUGACAAACCGGAGGAAGGUGGGGAGGACGUCAAAUCAUCAUGCCCCUUAUGACCUGGGGUACACACGUGCUACAAUGGACGGUACAAAGAGCUGCAAGACCCCGAGGUGGAGCUAAUCUCAUAAAACCGUUCUCAGUUCGGAUUGUAGGCUGCAACUCGCCUACAUGAAGCUGGAAUCGCUAGU
rnacentral:rRNA from 1 species